AUUGAACGCUGGCGGCAGGCCUAACACAUGCAAGUCGAACGGUAACAGGAAGAAGCUUGCUUCUUUGCUGACGCGUGGCGGACGGGUGUGUAAUGUCUGGGAAACUGCUUGAUGGAGGGGGAUAACUACUGGAAACGGUAGCUAAUACCGCAUAACGUCGCAAGACCAAAGAGGGGGACCUUCGGGCCUCUUGCCAUCGGCUGUGCCCAGAUGGGAUUAGCUAGUAGGUGGGGUAACGGCUCACCUAGGCGACGAUCCCUAGCUGGUCUGAGAGGAUGACCAGCCACACUGGAACUGAGACACGGUCCAGACUCCUACGGGAGGCAGCAGUGGGGAAUAUUGCACAAAGGGCGCAAGCCUGAUGCAGCCAUGCCGCGUGUAUGAAGAAGGCCUUCGGGUUGUAAAGUACUUUCAGCGGGGAGGAAGGGAGUAAAGUUAAUACCUGUGCUCAUUGACGUUACCCGCAGAAGAAGCACCGGCUAACUCCGUG
rnacentral:rRNA from 1 species